CCUACGGGGGGCAGCAGUGAGGGAUAUUGGUCAAUGGACGAGAGUCUGAACCAGCCAAGUCGCGUGAAUGAUGACUGCCCUAUGGGUUUUAAACUUCUUUUAUAUGGGAAUAAAACAGGGUAUGCAUACCCUCUUGUAUGUACCAUAUGAAUAAGGAUCGGCUAACUCCGUGGCAGCAGCCGCGGUAAUACGGAGGGUCCGAGCGUUAUACGGAUUGACUGGGUUUAAAGGGAGCGUAGGUGGAUGGUUAAGUCAGUUGUGAACGUUCGCGGCUCAACACUAAAAUUGCAGUUGAAACUGGCAGUCUUGAGUACAGUAGAGGUGGGCGGAAUUCGUGGUGUAGCGGUGAAAUGCUUAGAUAUCAGGAAGAACUCCGAUGGCGAAGGCAGCUCACUGGACUGCAACUGACACUGAUGCUCGAAAGUGUGGGUAGCAAACAGGAUUAGAUACCCUUGUAGUC
rnacentral:rRNA from 1 species